AUGAGGAGGCCUGCUGGCGUGGGAGCUCGGUGGGCGCCGGCGCUGGCCCUUGCGCUGGCCAUGGCAUUGGCGUCGUGCUCGUGCGUGACCCAUGGCGCCAGAACCACACCAAGUUCAGGCGCCGACGGCCUACGACCUGGCCGUGAGGCGACGCCGUCCGGAACCGCAGGCCGGGACGACAACGACGGAGGGCAGGCGGCAUCACCGUCCCAUCAGGAGAAGCGGGGCCAGGCGACGCGGGAGGGGGAGGAGGAGCAAGGGAUGAUGACGCUCAAGGAGCGAGCGGUGACGGGGUCGCGGCUGCCGGACUGCGCGCACGCGUGCGGGGCGUGCGCCCCGUGCAAGCGGGUCAUGGUCAGCUUCCGGUGCGCCGAGGCCUCCGAGUCGUGCCCCAUCGCCUACCGCUGCAUGUGCCGCGGCAGGUUCUUCCGCGUCCCCACCCUCUAG
rnacentral:rRNA from 1 species